rnacentral:rRNA from 1 species
AAUAGCCCAGAGAAAUUUGGAUUAAUACCCCAUAGUAUAAUGAAGUGGCAUCACUUUAUUAUUAAAGAUUUAUCACUCGAAGAUGGCUGUGCGGCUGAUUAGGUAGUUGGCGGGGUAAAGGCCCACCAAGCCUGCGAUCAGUAACUGGUGUGAGAGCACGACCAGUCACACGGGCACUGAGACACGGGCCCGACUCCUACGGGAGGCAGCAGUAAGGAAUAUUGGUCAAUGGAGGCAACUCUGAACCAGCCAUGCCGCGUGGAGGAUGAAGGUCCUCUGGAUUGUAAACUUCUUUAUAUGGGACGAAAAAGGCUCUUCUAAGUCGUCUGACGGUACCAUAUGAAUAAGCACCGGCUAACUCCGUG